UCAAAGUGGUAUCUCCUAGGUGAUUUCAGC
rnacentral:piRNA from 1 species